AAGAGCAAAGAAUUUCAGCCCCAUUCCUCGUCUUCUCACUACCAAAUUCCCAAAGGAUGUUCAGUUAAAAUUGGAUAACAAAGAAUCAUGUCAUAAGAUCAGCACUUACCGGCAUAAAAUUGUACGAGUGCUGCACGAGACUAUGGCUCAGCACACACUAUAUCCUUCAAACAGUGACUAUGUUUGUGCAGUCAAGGCUCUUAUCUCCAAAUACCCUUACCUGAGAGAUGCAGAGGGAAAUGGAUAUGAAGAACCAGCCACACCAUAUCCCACUGUACAGAUUUUGGGA